rnacentral:misc_RNA from 1 species
AACGCACAUUGCGCUGUGGGCGACCACAGCAUGCCUGUUUGAGUGUCGGCUCCCCAACCUCACCCAAAACCAAGCCCCUCGUGCAAAUGAGGGACGUGGGCGGCGGUGGAUGUGAGCGUUUCAUGUGGCCUUGCGCCUAGCGAAUCGCUUGAAGUGGAGUAGCGGCCGGGCGGCGCGCCUCCUUGGAGGCAAGCGUGACGAAACCCAACCAGUGUGUUAGCCUCCUCCCGGGGAAGUACCAUUGGCUGUGAGAUCGACACGUGGUCCGCGCCGGUUUUCGCCUUGAUGUAAGGAGCCCUUACUUAUCAAAGCCUCGACCUCAAAUCAGGUAAGACUACCCGCUGAAUUUAA